rnacentral:rRNA from 1 species
GACGAACGCUGGCGGCGUGCCUAAUACAUGCAAGUCGAACGGUCUUUUCUAUGGAAGCUUGCUUCCACUGAGAAGAUAGUGGCGAACGGGUGAGUAACACGUGGGUAACCUGCCCAUAAGAGGGGGAUAACAUCCGGAAACGGGUGCUAAUACCGCAUAGUUUUCUUGGUCGCAUGAUCGAGAAAGGAAAAACGGCCUUUGUGCUGUCGGUUAUGGAUGGAGCCGUGGCGUAUUAGUUAGUUGGUGAGGCAACGGCUCACCAAGACGAUGAUACGUAGCCGACCUGAGAGGGUGAUCGGCCACAUUGGGACUGAGACACGGCCCAAACUCCUACGGGAGGCAGCAGUAGGGAAUCUUCCGCAAUGGACGAAAGUCUGACGGAGCAACGCCGCGUGAGUGAAGAAGGUUUUCGGAUCGUAAAACUCUGUUGUCAGAGAAGAACAAGUCGGAGAGUAACUGCUCCGGCCUUGACGGUAUCUGACCAGAAAGCCACGGCUAACUACGCGCCAGCAGCCGCGGUAACAC